CCUUGGUCCUCUCGCAAUACUAUUUUGUGAACCUGGUCAGGCCCGGAAGGGAGCAGCCACAACAAAAGACGUAUGUGCGUGGAUGUGGCUGAGGAGC
rnacentral:SRP_RNA from 1 species